AAGGGAAUCUUCCACAAUGGACGCAAGUCUGAUGGAGCAACGCCGCGUGAGUGAAGAAGGUUUUCGGAUCGUAAAGCUCUGUUGUUGGUGAAGAAGGAUAGAGGUAGUAACUGGCCUUUAUUUGACGGUAAUCAACCAGAAAGUCACGGCUAACUACGUGCCAGCAGCCGCGGUAAUACGUAGGUGGCAAGCGUUGUCCGGAUUUAUUGGGCGUAAAGCGAGCGCAGGCGGAAGAAUAAGUCUGAUGUGAAAGCCCUCGGCUUAACCGAGGAACUGCAUCGGAAACUGUUUUUCUUGAGUGCAGAAGAGGAGAGUGGAACUCCAUGUGUAGCGGUGGAAUGCGUAGAUAUAUGGAAGAACACCAGUGGCGAAGGCGACUCUCUGGUCUGCAACUGACGCUGAGGCUCGAAAGCAUGGGUAGCGAACAGG
rnacentral:rRNA from 1 species